rnacentral:tRNA from 1 species
CAGGGAGACAACAAAAUGUUUAAUAUUAUUAUUUUGUCACCUUAGGUCGAUCGGUAUCUCACGUUCUUAUUUUAUUAAGAAUUUCAAUUCCUAAGUUUUUCUAGGUCACACCCAAUUAUUUUUCCUGGGCCAUUAGCUCAGGUGGUUAGAGCGCACCCCUGAUAAGGGUGAGGUCCCUGGUUCAAGUCCAGGAUGGCCCAUAUCUCUAUGUUGGGGGUAUAGCUCAGUUGGUAGAGCGCCUGCUUUGCAAGCAGGAUGUCAGCGGUUCGAGUCCGCUUACCUCCACUGAUUACCACCUCUUCCAUAAUCGGUACAAAGGAAAUUUUUUGAGUUGUGAUCAAAUCCUGAACGAAUCUAGCUUCCUAAUGUAAUCAUUAAGAUGCUGGACUCAUUGAAUUAAUUUCAUUGUUUUCAGAGAACCUUGACAACUGCAUAGAUUAUUUUAAAGACAAUAAGCAUCUUUUAAUGAUGCAGAUUUAUUAUUUGUGCGAAUGCAUUAAUAACAAUUCUAUUAAGCUGAUGCUUCAUAUUUGAAGUUAUU